CCCUUAGAUGUCCUGGGCUGCACGCGCGCUACACUGAUGUGUCCAGUAAGCACCUAACCUCUUCCGAAAGGAACGGGUAACCUUUGCAAAGCACAUCGUGAUGGGGAUAGAUUAUUGCAAUUAUUAGUCUUGAACGAGGAAUUCCUAGUAAGCACAAGUCAUCAGCUUGUGUUGAUUACGUCCCUGCCCCUUGUACACACCGCCCGUCGCUCAUACCGAUUGAAUGUUCCGGUGAGCUCUUCGGACUGCGCGGUCUGCAGUUUCUGCGUUCCGUGCGGAAAGUUGCGCAAACCUUAACAUUUAGAGGAAGGAGAAGUCGUAACA
rnacentral:rRNA from 1 species